GUCAGUCUGAUAGGUACCUAUACUCUGUAUCUUUAGGUAUUUAAAUAAAAGUAAACAAAAUCUACCCUCAAAUGGCUCCUUAAGCCAGUUGAGGGUAGAUGAAAACAUUACAUGAUCAAAUAAUGUAGGUUAAAGUCAGGUCGUUCAGUGACAGAUCCAGGCGGUUUUGUAUUUGGUUGGUUAACCAAUAAAUGUUAUAACUACCCGAAAAUGUACAAAUUGUUUGUUUACUUUUAUUUAAAUACCUAAAGAUACAGACUAUAGCAUCGAGUAGCGGAACUAUCAGUACUGCUACUUGACAAUAGAUGUUGCAACGACCGAAAAGUCUAAUGCUCAACAAUUUUCAGCUAAUAAUUUAACCAGAUUAACCAGA